rnacentral:rRNA from 1 species
UACGAAGGGGGGCUAGCGUUGCUCGGAAUCACUGGGCGUAAAGGGCGCGUAGGCGGCGUUUUAAGCGGGGGUGAAAGCCUGUGGCUCAACCACAGAAUUGCCUUCGAUACUGCAUGGCUUGAGACCGGAAGAGGUAAGUGGAACUGCGAGUGUAGAGGUGAAAUCGUAGAUAUUCGCAAGAACACCAGUGGCGAAGGCGGCUUACUGGUCCGGUUCUGACGCUGAGGCGCGAAAGCGUGGGGAGCAAACAGG